rnacentral:rRNA from 1 species
UACGAAGGGUGCAAGCGUUACUCGGAAUUACUGGGCGUAAAGCGUGCGUAGGCGGUUUGUUAAGUCCGUUGUGAAAGCCCUGGGCUCAACCUGGGAAUUGCAGUGGAUACUGGCGAGCUAGAGUGCGGUAGAGGAUGGUGGAAUUCCCGGUGUAGCGGUGAAAUGCGUAGAGAUCGGGAGGAACACACGUGGCGAAGGCGGCCAUCUGGACCAGCACUGACGCUGAGGCACGCGAGCGUGGGGAGAAAACAGG